AGAUGAAAGUUCCCUUAUAAGCCCUUCUCCAAGUUCUCAUUAAUCUAGCUUCCUCUUCUUCAGUACCAUGUCUGCCUGAUUCUGUUUGGCCAUAAGCUGUGUAGCGAGGCUGAGUGACAUGGAGAUAAGUGAGUUUUGAUCCAAGGUUCAACUGAAGUUUGUUAAGUCUCUCGAUUACAGCAAGACCCAAGUUGAGCGGAUCAGAAUCUAUGGCAUCUAGGUGAUCAAUUGCCGGUGACAUUCUGAAACCAACUCGAUCAGCACCAAUAGCUGCAACUACUGCCUGAAUCACCUGCAUUAGGAAUCUGCAUCGAUUGUUGAUUGAUCCACCAUACUCAUCUGUUCGGUCAUUGAUCCCAUCUUUUAAGAAUUGAUCAAUAAGGUAACCAUGAGCCCCAUGGAUCUCAAUUCCAUCAAAGCCUGCUCGAAUGGCAUUCAAGGCUGACUGGCUAUAAUUCUCCACUACCUCUAGUAUUUCAGGUGUUUCCAAGGGCCUAGGUGUUGGGUAUUUCCCAUAUGAUCCAUCUGGCAUGAGAAUUCUCCAUCUGUUUGAGAUGGCCUUGCCCGUCGAUGAUAUUGGUGCAGCUCCAUUAGGUUGAUAAACCUGAUGAGAUGCGCGGCCAACAUGCCAUAAUUGACAGAAUAUGAUGCUCCCUUUGGCAUGAACUGCAUCCACCACCCUCUUCCAUGCCUCCGCUUGUUCUUCUGUAUAAAUUCCAGGGACAUGAGGAAACCCAGGGGCAGUAGGGGAAACCAGAGUGCCUUCCGUGAUGAGAAAUCCGCCGGGAGUUGAUCUCUGCGUGUAGUAAUCCACCAGCGCUGCGUUUGGUAUCCCGUUCAACGCUCUGCAUCUAGUCAUGGGAGCCAGCACCACCCUGUGGGAGAGGCUGAACUUGCCCAUCUUGUAAGGAGAAAAUAGGUUGGUGAUCCCGGUCCCUUCUGUUCCAGUUUCAGCCAUUGUUGCUUCUUAUCUAGAACUGAAAUGAAUCUAAGAUAUAUAUAUGACUUUCUUCUGCUGCUGCUGUGCUGCUGCUGACGAAGAUGAUUAUUAGAGAGAUGAUCAAAAAAGGCAGGAGUCCGACUAAUAUAGAGAAGACUGUUGUGGAUUUGCGCGGUGAUGAUUGGUCGGUAGGAGGAGGAAAGCGGACUGGACCGGAUCGGAUGUUUGCUG
rnacentral:misc_RNA from 1 species